rnacentral:rRNA from 1 species
GGUAUUGAAUAAGAUUUUAAUUGAAUGCUAAAAGAAUGGAAUUACAGAAAACAGCUUUUUUUAAAUUAAAAAUUGAAUUUUUUUUAAUUUGUGCAGAAACAAUUAUCAAUAUUAAGGACAAGAAGACCCUAUGAAUUUAUAAAUUUAUAAAAAUAGUAAUGACUAUAAAAUAAAUUUUGGCUGGGGCGGCAAAAAAAUAUCAUUAACUUUUUGAAAAUAAAAUGAUCCAUUAUUAAUGAUUAUAUGUUAAAUACUCUAGGGAUAACAGCGUUAUAUUUUUUGAUAGACCAUAUUGACAAAAAAGUUUGCGACCUCGAUGUUGGAUUAGGAUACUUUUUUAAUGAAGAUAU